GACGUAGGGGACGAGCGUUGUCCGGAUUCAUUGGGCGUAAAGCGCGUGUAGGCGGCCCGGUAAGUCCGCUGUGAAAGUCCAGGGCUCAACCCUGGGAUGCCGGUGGAUACUGUCGGGCUCGAGUCCGGAAGAGGCGAGUGGAAUUCCUGGUGUAGCGGUGAAAUGCGCAGAUAUCAGGAGGAACACCAAUGGCGAAGGCAGCUCGCUGGGACGUGACUGACGCUGAGACGCGAAAGCGUGGGGAGCAAACAGG
rnacentral:rRNA from 1 species